GCUUGGUCCAAGUGCAGUGGUGUUUACAACUAAUUGAUCACAACCAGUUAUAGACUCCUUUGUUCCUUCUCCAUUCCCACUGCUUCAUUUGACCAGGAAAA
rnacentral:Y_RNA from 1 species